rnacentral:rRNA from 10 species
GCCUUUAUGGCCACACCACCCUGAACGCACAGGAUCUCGACUGAUCUUGAAAGCUAAGCAGAGUUGGGCCUGGUUAGUACUUGGGAUAUGAGACCCCCUGGGAAUACUGGGUGCUGAAGGCU